UGAUGAGGUUAAUAGGUUCGAGGUGGAAGCAUGGUGACAUGUGGAGCUGACGAAUACUAAUCGAUCGAAGACUUAAUCAA
rnacentral:rRNA from 1 species